rnacentral:misc_RNA from 1 species
GCUCGGAACCGUGGAUCGCUGAUCUUGUUCGGCCUCUUGAUCACAGGAUGCUUGUUUGCAUUUGCCUCUGCGAAGGAGGAGGCCAGCAAGUUGGGGACAGUAAUCGGGAUAGAUCUCGGCACCACAUACUCUUGUGUGGGUGUUUACAAAAAUGGUCAUGUCGAGAUCAUCGCAAACGACCAAGGAAAUCGUAUCACCCCAUCGUGGGUGGCUUUCACCGAGAGCGAG